rnacentral:rRNA from 1 species
AAACCGUUUGUGAAUCGGAGCAAACGGCCUUAGGAUGGGACUGCGGCGGAUCAUGGUAGUUGGUAGGGUAACGGCCUACCAAGCCGAUAAUCCGUAGGGGCCAUGGGAGUGGUGGCCCCCAGAAUGGCACUGAGACAAGGGCCAUAGUCCUACGGGAUGCAGCAGGCGCGAAACCUUCGCAAUGCGCGUAAGCGUGACGAGGGGACUCUGAGUGGUAUUAGCUUUGCUAGUGCCUUUUGCCCAGUGUAAAAGCUGCCGUCACACGGCAGGUUAUAGAGCUGGGAGAAUAAGGGUGUGGGCAAGACUGGUGGCAGCCGCCGCGGUAACACCAGCGCCUCGAGUGGUACCCGCGAAUAUUGGGCCUAAAGCGUUCGUAGCCGGUCCUGUAAGUCCGCUGUGAAAUGUUACCGCUUAACGGUAACGCGUGCAGUGGAUACUGCUGGACUUGGGAGCGGGGGAGGGAAGAAGUACUUCCGGGGUAGCGGUAAAAUGCGUUGAGCCUGGAAGGACUUUCAGUGGCGAAGGCGUCUUCCCAAAACGCGUCCGACGGUGAGGAACGAAAGCUGGGGGAGCAAAUCGGAUUAGAUACCCGAGUAGUCCCAGCUGUAAAUGAUGCUGACUUCGGUGUUUCCCUGGCGUAAGCCACGGAAGUGCUGUAGCGUAGGUGUUAAGUCAGCCGCCUGGGAGUACGAGCGCAAGCGUUGAACUUAAAGGAUUAGGCGGGGAGCACCACAAGGGGUGGAUGCUACGGUUCAAUUGGAUACAACGCCAGGAACCUCACCACAGGCGACAGCAGUAUGAAGGCCAGACUGAAGAUCUUGCCUGACAAGCUGAGAGGUGCUGCAUGGCCAUCGUCAGCUCGUGGUGUGAAUCUCGUACCAAGCGAGAGCACAAACUGUCUGGUUAAGUCCAGCAACGAGCGAGACCCAUACCUUUAGUUGCAAACUCUAUCUCCGGAUGGGGUGCACUCUAAAGGGACUGCCCGUGUUAAAUGGGAGGAAGGAGUGGGCGACGGUAGGUCAGUAUGGCCCGAAUCCUGUGGGCUACACGCGGCAUACAUUGGCCGGAACAACGGGCUGCAACGCCGAGAGGCGAAGCUAAUCUCUUAAAUCCGGUCUCGGUUGGGAUCGAGGGUUGAAACUCACCCUCGUGAACGUGGAAUCCCUAGUAAUCGCGAGUCAUCAUCUCGCGGUGAAUACGUCCCCGCUCCUUGCACACACCGCCCGUCAAGUCAUCCAAAUGCGUUUUCGAUGAGGCCCAGGUUCUUGCCUGGUUCGAAUUGAA